CCUACGGGAGGCAGCAGUGAGGAAUAUUGGUCAAUGGCCGGAAGGCUGAACCAGCCAAGCCGCGUGAAGGACGAAGGUGCCAAGCAUUGUAAACUUCUUUUGUCAAGGGACAAAAUCAGGCUCGAGAGCCUGACCGAGGGUACUUGAAGAAAAAGCAUCGGCUAACUCCGUGCCAGCAGCCGCGGUAAUACGGAGGAUGCGAGCGUUAUCCGGAUUUAUUGGGUUUAAAGGGUGCGUAGGCGGACUGUUAAGUCCGCGGUAAAAGCCCGGGGCUCAACCCCGGCGAGCCGUUGAAACUGGCUGUCGUGAGUUGUCGAGAGGUAUGCGGAAUGCGCGGUGUAGCGGUGAAAUGCUUAGAUAUUGCGCAGAACUCCGAUUGCGAAGGCAGCAUACCGGCGGCGAUCUGACGCUGAGGCACGAAAGCGUGGGUAUCGAACAGGAUUAGAUACCCUUGUAGUC
rnacentral:rRNA from 1 species